rnacentral:rRNA from 1 species
UACGGAGGAUCCGAGCGUUAUCCGGAUUUAUUGGGUUUAAAGGGUGCGUAGGCGGCCUUUUAAGUCAGCGGUGAAAGUCUGUGGCUCAACCAUAGAAUUGCCGUUGAAACUGGGGGGCUUGAGUAUGUUUGAGGCAGGCGGAAUGCGUGGUGUAGCGGUGAAAUGCAUAGAUAUCACGCAGAACCCCGAUUGCGAAGGCAGCCUGCCAAGCCAUUACUGACGCUGAUGCACGAAAGCGUGGGGAU